AAAAAAUUAGUUAAACAAAAUAACCUUAGUAUGUCAAACUAAAAUUAUCAAUAAUUGAUAUUUUUUA
rnacentral:tRNA from 1 species